rnacentral:tRNA from 1 species
GCCCGGCUAGCUCAAUCAGUAGAGCAUAGGACUCUUAACCCCAGNGUUGUGGGUUUGUGCCCCACGUUGGGCG